GAUGAACGCUGGCGGCGUGCCUAAUACAUGCAAGUCGAGCGAAUGGAUUAAGAGCUUGCUCUUAUGAAGUUAGCGGCGGACGGGUGAGUAACACGUGGGUAACCUGCCCAUAAGACUGGGAUAACUCCGGGAAACCGGGGCUAAUACCGGAUAACAUUUUGAACCGCAUGGUUCGAAAUUGAAAGGCGGCUUCGGCUGUCACUUAUGGAUGGACCCGCGUCGCAUUAGCUAGUUGGUGAGGUAACGGCUCACCAAGGCAACGAUGCGCAGCCGAACUGAGAGGGUGUUCGGCCACACAGGGACUGAGACACGGCCCAGACUCCUACGGGAGGCAGCAGUAGGGAAUCUUCCGCAAUGGACGAAAGUCUGACGGAGCAACGCCGCGUGAGUGAUGAAGGCUUUCGGGUCGUAAAACUCUGUUGUUAGGGAAGAACAAGUGCUAGUUGAAUAAGCUGGCACCUUGACGGUACCUAACCAGAAAGCCACGGCUAACUACGUGCCAGCAGCCGCCGUAA
rnacentral:rRNA from 1 species